CAGCAGCCACGGUAAUACGUAGGGUGCAAGCGUUAAUCGGAAUUACUGGGCGUAAAGCGUGAGCAGGCGGCUUCUUAAGUCGGAUGUGAAAUCCCUGAGCUUAACUUAGGAAUUGCAUUCGAUACUGGGAAGCUAGAGUAUGGGAGAGGAUGGUAGAAUUCCAGGUGUAGCGGUGAAAUGCGUAGAGAUCUGGAGGAAUACCGAUGGCGAAGGCAGCCAUCUGGCCUAAUACUGACGCUGAGGUACGAAAGCAUGGGGAGCAAACAGGAUUAGAUACCCCGGUAGUCCCUGUCUCUUAUAC
rnacentral:rRNA from 1 species